ACGUAGGUGGCAAGCGUUAUCCGGAUUUAUUGGGCGUAAAGAGAGUGCAGGCGGUUUCUUAAGUCUGGUGUGAAAGCCUUCGGCUUAACCGGAGAAGUGCAUUGGAAACUAGGAAACUUGAGUACAGCAGAGGAUAGUAGAACUCCAUGUGUAGCGGUGAAAUGCGUAGAUAUAUGGAAGAAUACCAGUGGCGAAGGCGGCUAUCUGGGCUGUAACUGACGCUGAGACUCGAAAGCAUGGGUAGCAAACAGG
rnacentral:rRNA from 1 species